rnacentral:tRNA from 1 species
GCGUCCGUGACGGAAUUUGGGAGACGUGCCGGAUUCAGACUCCGGUGCCCGGUUAAGGGCGUGCAGGUUCGACUCCUGCCGGACGUA